rnacentral:tRNA from 1 species
UUUAUGUAGUUUAAAAAAUAAACAUUACAUUUUCAUUGUAAAAUUAAAUCUUUUCUUAA